UACGUAGGGGGCGAGCGUUGUCCGGAAUCAUUGGGCGUAAAGCGCGUGUAGGCGGCUCGAUAAGUCUGGUGUGAAAACUGGAGGCUCAACCUCCAGCUGUCACUGGAUACUGUCGGGCUAGAGUCCGGAAGAGGAGAGUGGAAUUCCUGGUGUAGCGGUGGAAUGCGCAGAUAUCAGGAGGAACACCAAUGGCGAAGGCAGCUCUCUGGUACGUGACUGACGCUGAGACGCGAAAGCGUGGGGAGCGAACAGG
rnacentral:rRNA from 1 species